rnacentral:rRNA from 1 species
GACGUAGGAUGCGAGCGUUGUCCGGAUUUAUUGGGCGUAAAGAGUUCGUAGGCGGUUCGUUAAGUUCGAUGUUAAAGAUCGGGGCCCAACCCCGGGACUGCAUUGAAUACUGGCGGACUGGAGUGCAGUAGAGGCAAGUGGAAUUCCCAGUGUAGUGGUGAAAUACGUAGAGAUUGGGAAGAACACCAGUGGCGAAGGCGGCUAUCUGGACGGUUUCUGACGCUAAGACGCGAAAGCGUGGGGAGCAAACAGG